CGCCCGUCACACCAUGGGAGUUGGCUUUACCCGAAGGCGGUGCGCUAACCAGCAAUGGAGGCAGCCGACCACGGUAGGGUCAGCGACUGGGGUG
rnacentral:rRNA from 1 species